UCGGCUUCGCUUCCCCCUUUGGCGGAGGGAAGGGUGCAGGGAAGCCUGUAAAAACAGAGUUGAAGGGAAUGGGUUUCGGGAGCAGAGGGUUUGAAGUUCACGACUCCUACAAGGGGAGGGAAAUGAAAGUCUCUCAGUGAAGCAGGGGUCACUGAGGCGCCAUUUGUUUCCUCAUUUCCUGUACGCCUUUGCAGUGUCCAGAACCCUUCAGAUUCACUUACCAAUAAGUUCUCUAUGUAAACAGAUAAAUGUGACUGAAAUGGGGAAGGAUGAGAGUCAUUCCAACCUGCCAAGAUCUCCUACCCCAUCUCUACUCUCCACAUAGGGGAGGUUCCAGAAGUACUUUGAAAACCAUUAGGAAAGUUAAUUCCUUCAUAAAUGACUUGAAAUGCCAUGUCUGUAAUAUGCUACAUUAAAAUUUUUACCUAUUCAAUCACUUUUGUAUUUUUCUGCUAACCUCAUACUUUAAGGAGUCUAUAGUCUUUAUAAUAUAACAAAAGAAAUUGAAAUAUCUAUAAGUUAAAUAACAACAUGGGGUUCUUUAGGGGCUGGUAAAAUUAGCAUGUUUCUUUAAAAUGAUGUAUAUUAUUGGCAGGAGUUGGCUAAAUACCUUCAGUAUAGAGAUUAACUUCGUAAUGUACAUGUGGUUGAUAAUUUGAUAGUUUGUCACCAGUUUACAAUGUUGAUAUUGUUUGAUCCAUCAAAAUCACUUGCAGAAGUCAACCCUGAAGAAAUAACCAGGUAUGUAUAGGAAAUUUUGUUAAUGUUCAGAUUACUGAUAAUGCUGAAGAUGAUCCAAAUGUUUAACAGUGUAGGACUGGUUAAAUGAAUCCUGGCAUAUCUGUGAGACAGGAUACACUUCAGCCAUUACAGUGAUGUUGUAAAAAGAAAAAUACCUUACUGAGUACCUGUGAUGAAUCUGGCACCAUACCAAGCACCUUAAUUACGUUGUCUUACUUAAGCCUAACAAUAUCCCUAGAUGAUAGGUAUCAUUAUUCCUGUUUAUAGACAAGAAACACAGAAGUUCAAACAGCUAGUAGUGUUGCUGGCAUUCAGCCCACGUCUGCUCUUAACACUUGUUCCUAAUUACUGCCCUGGCCAUAUGGGAAAAUAUUCACUAUUUACUGAUAGUUAUUGCUUUAAUGCAUUUUAACUGACUUUAAAAAAGAAACACUCCAACCUACAUGCAAUCCCUUCUUCUUUGGCCAAAGUUACUUCUGCUUGGUAAUCUUUUUCCCUGGAAUGAAUCUAUAUAUGUUUUUUAUUGAGCUUCGAAGUAUUAAAUGAGUGCUCUAAGGAUUAUAAAGUGGCUAUACCUAUUAUUGUCACUGUAUAUGAUUGGCUACAUUGUAGUCUCUUUAUGUUCCCUCAGUUCUAUCUCUUCUUGCUCUAGUGUCAACUUACAGUCCCUGGCUGGGGCUGGGGACAGACCAGAAAGGAAGACUGAGUUGGGGGAGCUGUGUAGGUCUGAACUUUAAGCACAGUAGCGUCUGCUGUGUAUGUGGUGUAGCGUGGUGGUUAGAAGCUCUGGUUCCAGAGCCCAAUGGGCUAGACCGAGUCCCGGCUUUUGAACUUGGGAAACUUGUUCGCCCUCUUGGUACCUCAGUGUCUUCAUAAAAUGAAGGUGGUCAUUGUACCUACUUCAUAAAAUUGUUGUGAGGAUUAAAUUAGUUAAUGCAUUUAAAGUACCUGUGACAUACUAAGUGCUCACCCAUUAGCUUUAAUCAUUGUCAUUAUGUACAGAAUGGGAGAGGAGAAAAAGAACUCAUGAGUUUACUAUGUGGCACAUUCCUACCUGAGCUCUGUGUUUGAUCUCUGUGAGUUAGAUGUUUUGAUCAUUUCCUUUUUAUAAGAUGAGGAAUCUAAAAUUUGGGAAGGUUCCAUAUGGAAAGAGUAGAAUGACUCAUCAGACCCAUUUCUAGGACUAAGGGCAAGGUAAAUACUGAAAGCUGCCUGGCCAGGAAAUAGUAAUGCUGCGGGGAUGAGAUGAGAACUGGGCCCAUGGAGUCAUACCACCCUUUAGGAACCAAGGGCAGGAAUUAAUAACAUUCAGGACUGAGUGGGUUCCCUAUCCGUUAUCAGGAAACCCAGCCAUUUUUCUUCUAGUUGUAUUUUCUGUAAAUACUUCCUGUUUUUUUCUCCCUUACUAUGUACUAAAAUUAUUUCUGAAUUACCAGUCUGUCUCACUUAUGCUUUGAAUGAGAAAAAAAGAAAAAGGAAUGUUUGGCCAUCUCAUGCUGGAGCUUUCAGGGAGAACAUGUAGAUUAGACACCAGAUAUGCUGGGCUGCCAAUGCCAGAAGAGGGAAAAUAAAUGCAGGGAAGAAAAGCCUCUUUCUCAGAGGCUUCUGGAGUUUGCUCUUCUCUAACCUUAGAAGAUUUUGAACAGUUUCCUAGAGGGUGGGCUUUCACUUAUUCAUCUAUCCAGCAUGACUCAUCCCCAGAAGUGUUGAGUAAGUGAAAUUUUACAGUAUUUAUGUUUUGUGACUUAGAAACACAAUGAUGUGGGAAGAGAAUGAACUUUUGGAGUCCGACAUAUCUGAGGUAAACUCAUGGCUUUGUCACUUAGUAGUUGUAUAAUUUGGGGCUAGUUAGUAACUUCUCUGGGCUUCAUGUACAAAAUAGGAAUAAUGAUAUCUGCUUCACAGAGUUGGUACGAAAAUGAAAUGAGGCAGCAAAAAUAAAAGUGGUCAGUGGCUCACAUAGGCCUUCAUGUCUUGCCUUUCUCUGUGAGACUGUGACUUUGGAGCGAGCAUUUGGCUGUGUCUUGAAUUUGUUUUUAUACUUUACUAUAUCCAGUGCAGUGCUUUGUUACAGUGAUAUAAACUACUGAACAACAUUGGCAUACAUGCACAGGAAUGGAAUAAUGGGUAAAUAAUUUUCGUGGGUUUUAAUGUCUUUUAAUCUAUCCUGUCAUAGAGAAAAACUGCCAAAUGCAGAGAGAUAAGAUUGCAGAGUCAGGGCUGAAGAAUUGGGCAGGUCAUUCCCUGCACAAGGCCAGAGGCUCCAGGGAGAAUGGGACUCAGCCCUCGGCCCCACAGCUUGCAGAGCCCCCUGCUUGCUUCAGUUUCCUCAAAGGCAGUCUUCUGUGGGUGAAUGAAGCCUCCUCUCUUCUGACAAAGUGUUCCUCUUAUAAAUGAUAUACUGUGCUUGAUUUAAACUUUUUUCUCUUUAAAUUACAGAAUACCUAAAAUGUAAAGAACCAGACAUUCAUUUACUCAUAAAUUAAGGUGGCCGUAAUUGCUAUAACUUUUUAAAAAUUGUAACUUAAUUUCAGACCUACAGAAAAAAAUACAAAGAAUUCCCAUAUACCCUUCUAAUAUUUUACCACAUUUGCUUAUCUUUAUCUUUCUGUAUUACAUAUGCAGAUUAUUUUUUCUGCACAGUUUAAGAGAAAUUUCCUCUUGUCCCCCCUUCCAAUCUUCCUUGCUUCCCACUUUUCUUCCUUUCUUUCUUUCAAAUAAAAUAUUCUAGGUAGAGCUAAGUUGUUUCCCCUUCAUCUGUUCCUGUCCCUCCUUCCCUGCCUCUCCUUGCCUUUGUCAGGGAACCUGCUGUCUUACAUGUUUUUGUCCUUUUACUACAUAUGAUUAGAUCUAUAGAUACUGAAUUUUCAUUAUUUGUUGAGACUUACUUUGUGACCCAAUACAUAAUCACUUUCCCAAAUAUUCCUUGUAACUUGAGAAAGAACAUGUACUCCUUAAUUCUCUAAUGAGCCAAUAGCUGUAAACCACUUAGAACAGAGCCUGGCAUAUAAGCACUGUGUAGUGUUAACUUUUAAAAACAACCACAUGGUGUACAGUUACAUAGAAAUCUGCUGGCUCAAAUUUGUUACUGUCUUGUUCAAAUUUUGUAUGUGUGAGCUCUUGUUUUUUAGAGAAGUGUGUUAAAAUCUUCCUGUGAUUUUACAUUUUUUGCACAUAUGCUGCCAACUUCCACUCCCUGGCAUUGGAGUGAGAGAUCCCAGCCAGCUGUCUGGAUCCCAUCCCCUGAUCCCAUCCCAUUAGCUGGGGCUGUGCGUCGCUGUGCAGCAGAGAGCUAGGAUGGAAGUCAGGGCCCUGACCCAGCAGAAAAGGCAUCACAGGGAAAUAAACGGAAGUUCACAAAUUCAAACACACCAGGACUCAGUGGCGUUCACAUCUCCCUUUUGUAAGUUUUUUUGUUCUGCAGCCUAAUUAUCACUUGCUACACUCUGUUUUUCGCCUCUCAAAUGUCCCGUUGGUCUCUCAACCCUAAAUCCUCCAAAGUUUAAGCCAACUUUUUGGAUCAUAUUCACCAAAAUCCCUCUUUCCAAUAUUUCAGAACUAAAUUUCAAUUUUCAUAUGAUAGGGCACUGUAAGCUUGGGGAGAAAUGUUUCUUAACUGAUUCAAUGAAAAUGGAAUAUUGUUGGUUGCACAGUGGUAAACAGAAUACACAUGAGGAAAAGUGGGGAAAGUAGGCAUGAAACAAACCCAAAUAAAUUGUGACAAUUGCCAAAAAUGAAAAGAACUGUUUCUCUAAGGGAGAAAAUAGUAAAAGGGGUAAUGUAGUGUGAAGAUGUGAUGGGAGAUGAUGUUCUAAGAGGAAUAAUCAGCUCUGAAGAGGCUGUGGACCAGACUGAUCUCAGCUACUGAAGUGCUGAAAGAAACCAGCAAGGGGCUGAGAGGCAGUGGGAGGGGUGUAGGCGCUAGUUUGCUAGUUCACAUAGGGCUGUAUGAGCCAUCUUAGAGGUUACAUUUUAUUCCAGGAAUAGGAAUCCAUUGAAGGGUUCAAGCAGAGAACAGAUGACUGGGUUAAUGGAUUUAAAUAUACCUCUAGCAAGUAGGUGAAGAAUGACUAGGGAAAAGAGUGUAAGCAGGACAUCAUUCAGGGCAACUUUGGUAAAUGGAAGUUUUUAGUGACUUCCAUAUGUUUCCCUCUUGUCAGAGUUUCUUAAAAACACAAUGGCAAAUGAAACAGCCUUAAACUAACUUCAUCUGUAAAAGAUUGUUUAUACAGUUCGUGAUGACCAUCAUAGACUCUUCACAGGUCUAGAAGAUCCACUUAUAACCAUAACCCCACCCCCAAUUUAAAUCUUGUGGAUAUUUUGUAAAAACUUUAAAUUUUGAAAAAUGUCAACUCCAUAAGUGCAGAAGAGUAUGGUAAAUUCCUGUUACCUUGCAAAUUGCCUUGCCUUAACUACUCAGUGAUUGUUAAGUUUGCUGACAUUGACUUUAUCUGUUACUUUUUAUUUCUUCGUUCACUGAAAUAUUUAAAAGCAAAUCCCAAAUGUGUAAUUUUUACCUUCAUAUAUUAAGGAUCCAUCUCUAAGAACAUUUUCUUCAUACUGCAAAGCCAUAUUCAUAAAACUGACAAUUAUUGCUAGUAUCUAAUGCCAAUUCCAUAACCAAAUGUCCUUGGUGUCUCAAAAAUUCCUUUAUUGUUGGUUUGUUCAAAUCAGAAUCUAAAGAUCUGCUUAAUGUAUUUGGUGUUUAGUGUUUCAAGUCCCUUUUAAUCUAGGGCACUGCUUUUUUCUUUACUUCUCCUUUUUUCUUUUCCUAUUUUCGUUUUUUAAAAAAACGUGUCAUCAACUUAUACAAACUGGACUGAUCUUGUAAGAUGUCUAAAUAUUUCAUAAAAACUUAAAAAUAAAGAAACCAGGAUGAAAUGUAGAGCUUGAGCCUUUAAGUUUCCAGCAAGUCAGACCAUCUCUCUGGAAUGUUCUUUUAAGUGUCUGGCAUACAACACAGUCCAGUGGACCAUAAACACUCACCACACUUGGCAUCCAUAUGCAAGCUGUUAAAUAAGAGUGAUGUGCUUAAUGUUUUAAUUUUAUCAUUCAGGCUUCUCGGGUUCUUGACCUGCUUACUGUGAUUUGUCUACUGUUAUUAAAUUAACAGAAUCUGAAAAUAGCACUGUUUCUCAAAUGUUUUUAAAAACAAUUAAGAUAAUGCUUCAGUGUGCUAACCUCAGCCUUCUUCACUUCAGAAAUUAGAAAAUUAAAAAUAGUUGAACUGGAGGUACCGUCAGUAAAAGCCAUUUUACAUUUGGUUCCACUUUAAUGAAGCACAGAAGUACCGUAAGUGCCCAAACACUAUAUAUGUUCUUCACCUCAGUGUCUGUGUCCCUGAGAAGGUGACUUUGAUUUCUUUGCUAUAAUUAGCUCUGUUGCCAAUGGAGCAUAGAGUCUGAUUACCUGCAGUAACUAGAAUUAGAUCACUAGUUCUUUUGGCUUUGUUGUUUAAACAGGUUGUAGUGCAUGAAUAUGAUUGCAAAAUUAAAGUAAAAGUAUUUUAUAUAGCCAUUUAAUGUUAAUCAUUUUGAAUUAUUUACUAGUUUGAUUAUUCAAAGCAAGGGUAUAAUUCCAAAUUAAGCAUAAACUAGACUUACAGGAAACGUGAUAUUUAAUGUUAUUUCACUUCUAAAUAAAAGACAGUAUCUUCACUGAACCUGUGCUCACACAUUCUGGAUUUAAUCCUGGCUCUAACACUUACAAGCUAGACAAACCGUUUCACUUUUCUGAGCCAUAGUUUUCUCAUGUAAACGGAUGUAUUCUACUUAAUUUAUAAAGACUUAAAGAUAAUAAAUGAGACUGAAUUUAGACUGCAGCUUGAGGAAUUCUGAGUGUGUGUAUUGGAUCAGGCCCUAAACUAGGAGGUGUUUGACAGAGAUAUUUAUUAGUUAGAGAUGAAAGACCCAGUGUUGAGAGCCAGAAUCCUUGAAUCCUCAAUCAGCUUCAGCUGUCCUCUCCUGAUACCUGUAACAGAUAGUAAGUGUGUAGAGGACCAAGCCCCAGACAGACAACUGUCAUAGGUAAGGGCUGGAGCCCCAACUUAAUGUCUGGGAUGAAUUGGGUUGAAUUGGAUGGUCAGUAGAUGGAUGACCUUUUCCACCCUCCACUGAUAAUUAGUCACUCUUUUAUUUGUGUUCUUCGAAUUUAUCAUCCUGCCUCAUUAUUAUAUUUUUAUAUAUACAAAUGUCCCUAUAAGUGUUUAUUUAAUUGAAUUGGCACACAAACGGCCAGAAAAUGUGUAUUUCUCCUCACCAUAUAGUCAUCAAUUAGGAAAGAUUUGGAAUUCUAAAGUAACUUAAACCAAACCAAACCACACUAAGGAUGAGGUAACAUUGGCAGAUGAUACUCUAGGAGUUACAAUGCAACAAGAUGCUGAAUUAAGUGUUGGUUCAUCCAUUCAUUUCGCAGAUGUUUAUUGAGAACUUGCUGUAUGUCAGGGAUUAUACUUGAUGACUAGGGUGCAAAAGUGAAAAGACAUUAUCUUUACUCACGGAGUUCACAGUUUUAGUUGUAUUUGACUCAGGAAUAGUGUUUAAUAAUAAAAGAAUAAUGUUAUGAUGUGCAGGUCACAAGAGCCCUAAAAGUAGUCUGCAAUAUUAAAUGUAAUUAUUUCUUGAUUAGCAGUUCUAUGCCAGGAGCUGUACUAGUUGUUUUGUUUACUGCAUGUAAUUGAAUCCUGGCAAUACUCCACUCUACAGAUGACAAAACAAAAGAGGUUAUGCAAUAUGCCUAAAAUCACAAUAGCUAGUAAGGAGAAUCAGAAUUAAACUUGUAUCUUUAUUAAUCACUACUCAAUAGUGGAUCACCAGUGAGGUUUCCCAGCACAUAUUAGAAUGUCUGACAGAUUGUAAGAAUCACAAUGGCUUACAAGUAUAUAAUUCACAAUAGAGACAAAGGUUUAAAGUCUUUCUGAUGAAGGGUUUCUGAUUCCCCCAUUCUAACAAGCCAGAGCCUCUACUCACUCCAAAAUACAUGAGUUAACCUGUCCAAGUAUGUGGAUUUCUGAGUUCCUCCAUCCAGUGCCAGUACUUUACUUUAUUGCCAGUAGUAAAUGCAUUAUAUAAUUCUAAUUGUAGCACCUCUAGCAUUUUAUCUAAAAGAAGAAAGUCAAAAAUCAACUUCCAAAUAAAUGAGACAGAAGGGGCAAAUGUUUUUUUUUUGAAGUGUUUUAAUUGCCAUCAUUAUUCUUUUUUUUCAAUUGUGGUAAAACAUACAUAAUAUUUACCAUCUUAACCAUAUUUAAAUGUACAGUUCAGUAGUAUUGAGUAUAUUCACAUUGUUGUGCAACCACCACCACCAUGCAUAUCCAGAGUUCUCUUAAUCUUGCAGAUCUGAAACUCUAUACCCAUUAAACAACUCACCAUUCUGACAUUUCACAAAAUUCUAACCAGUACUCUUCAAAAGUGUCAAUGUCCUGAAAAACAAGGAAAGACCGAGGAUCUAUCACAGAUUGGAAGAUGCUAAGGAGACAUGACAAUUCAGUGCAUUGUGGUAUUCAAGAUUGGACCUUAGAACAGAAAAAGGACAUUAGCAGAAAAAGUAAUAUCAGCGAGAUCUGAAUGAAAUCUGUGAUUUAGUUAGUAGUGUUAUACCAAUGUUAAUUUCUUUGUCUUGACAACUGUACUAUGGUUAUGUAAAAUCUUGACAGUGGGAAAAUGGGAUAAAGGGAAAUUGGAGUUCUCUGCUAGUCACAACUCCCCUAAUCUAAAUUACUUAACAAUAAGGAGUUUCAGAAAAUUAAUUUUCUCUUCUAAAUGAUUUUCUUAAGGGACUGCAUGGUUAUCCCAUUAAUGGUAUCGUUGCUUUAAUUAUUUCAAAAUAUCUUUCUUGGAAUUGUCUUCAAAAGCCUAAAAUCGAAGGCCAUAAAAUCAGAAGAGUCAGGAGAGAUCUGAGGAGUUAUCUAGUCCAAUCUCCCAACCAUUCCAAGGAAUUCUGCAUGUACCAUAAUUUAUUUAUCUACUUCCCUAGUGGUUGAUAUUUAGGUUGUGCCCCAAAUUGUGCCCUUUACAAAGUUUAUGUGAAAUUUUUUGUACCUAUAUCUUUGGGCAUAUUUAGGGAUAUUUCAAUAUGCUAGAUCUCAAGAAGUGCAGUGGUAGGUCAAAGGAAACACACAUUUAAAACGUUGAUAAGUCCUUCCAGUUUGCCAUGCAAAAAAACUAUGCUUCUACCAACAGUGUAUGGGCAUACACUAACAUGGAUUAUGAUCAAUCUUCUACAUUUCAGCUAUUCUGAUAAAAGCAAGGGCCUGCUGAGGUGGGGGCAGUGGGAGCAGCCCACCCCUAUAGAUAAGAAUAUUUUACCACUGACAUAUUUUAGAAUUUCUGAAGCAUGAUGAUAUGUUUUAUUAUUAUUUUUUAAAUUCUCUACAGACAGUGCAUCCUCUUAUUGCCUGCUUUCCUUCCUGCUGACUUAACACUGCCUAACCCUCCUCAGUAUUCCUGCUAAUAGGCAAAAGAAGCCACCAAUUUGCAUGUCUCUGAUUACUAAUGAGGUUGAACAUAUGCUUAUUUGUUUGUAAUCUGUAUUAUUGGUAAUCUGUAUUUCUCACUGAAUGACCUAUUUAUAUUGUUGGCCUGUUUUUUGGGGGGGGGGCUUAUUUUCUUUUUCUUAUUAAAAAAAAACUCAUUAUAUUGUGAAUAAUAAUCCUUUGUUGCCUGUGUUGUAAAUAUUUUCUCUGUGUGUCACUCAACUUUUAACUUGAUGGUUUCUCUUGCUAUAUGGAAAUUAUGUUGGUGUUUGGGGGAGAGUACAACUUUUUAUUUCAUUUAAAUUUAUUUAAAAUGAGAAACACUAGGAACUAGGAAUACAUUUCAAAAACUUACCAAAACUCCAUGUGGGAAACCUGCUUAUCUGAGCUGGGAGCAAUGCCCAGAAUCAAAGCAAAGCAUAGCCAAAGACUCCUGGGUGCCCUUUCUAGGUUUUUUAUCAGGCUAAGGAAGUUCUUUCUGACUCAAAGUUUGUAAAAGAUAUUUUUAUUUAUUUUUACAAGUAGUUUUAUUGUUUAUGUUUUUUACAUUUAGGUCUCUAAACCACCUGUAAUUUAUAGGUUACUAAGCAGUUAUCCUUGUGCUGUUUAUACUGAAUAAUCUAUCUUUCCCCACUGAUUUGAAAUGCCACCUUGAGCAUGUGUGAAAUCCCCUAAGUAGGAACCUGGGCUAUUUUAUGGACUGUCCCACUCCACCAAUCUAGCUGUGUUUUUCUCAUCAGUACCACACUACCCUAUUUCCUACAUAGUUUUAUAGUUCUUUUCAAGUUCACAUGUCAUUUUGUUACAGUUGUUUUUCAAAACUUUCUUGGCUGUUUUCAAACAUUUGCUUUCCAGAUAAACUAGAGAAUCAACUUUCAAAUUUAAAAAAUUCCAUUGAGAUAUUGAUAAAAAUUGCAUUUAAUUUACAGAUCAAUAUGAGAAGAAUUGCCUUUAAAAAAUAGUAAGGCUUCUUAUCAAGCUAUGACUCUCCAUUUACAAAGAUCUAUGUAUGUCUCUCAUUAAAACAUAGUUUUUAAAAAUGAGUUUGAGCACUUCUAUUAAUUUUAUGUCUAGGUAUUUUAUAGUUAUGGUUAUUUUGAAUGGGAUAUUUUUCCAUUGUAUUUUUGAACUGGCUCCUGCUGACACAUAGCAAAACUAUGAUUUUUUUGUAUUCCUUUUGCAUUUAAUAUCUGGUAUUACUAUACUUUGUUUACUCAACCUCUCCCCAUUUCUAGGCAUUAGGUUGUUCCAAACUUUGAUAAGCCAUAAUUAGCAUUGCUAUAAACAUCUUUAAUCAAGGAAGUUUUUUUCCCUUUAAAUUUCUUCCUAUAAAUGGGAAAAACAGAUUAAAGGGUAUAUGUAACUUCAUAGCUCCUCAUACAUAUUGCUCUGAUGAAUCUCCUGAAGGGCUAGCACCUUUCCAAUUUGCCCGUAAUAACAUCAGCACAUAGGUAACAAUGAUGAAGAUAAUGACAAUGAGGAUAAUUUUAAAUUAAAAAAAUAUAUAUAUUUUUAAUUUUAUCAAAUAUUUUCUUAGCAUUUAUGCCUGGUAUUGUGCUCUGGGCUUUCAUGUCUUCUCAUUUAGUUCUUACAGUGAGUGUAUAAGAUCUGUUUCUGUCUCAUAUGUACAAAUGAGGAAAAUGAGGUGCAGAGAGGGAGGGUAACAUACCUGCCCUCACUGCUGGUAAGAGACGAAGUCAGUUGUAUUGUGAUGUUCAAUGCCUUCUUCCUAUGUCUUCUCAUAUACCAUUCUUUUCAUUUUUCAUUUACAUUUGAAACUGUAAAAAGUAUAUGAGACCUGAAAAUUGUAUCACUGUGCAUUUCUUAACUAAUAAUAAAAAUGCCAUUUGAUAACAUACUUGUUAAAUUGCUUUUUUAUCUCCUUUGACCACUUAUCCAGUAGAGGGGUGAUAUUAAUUAUAUAUUUGUCACAAUUUCAUGUAUAUAUUGAAUUAAAAGUUUUAAAAUUAUAUUUUCUCCUUUAUCUUUACAAAUAUUCUUGGGUUUUCUUGCCCAUUGAGUCUUCCUUUCUUGUAUUUAUUUUAGUUUACAUCUUCUGCAAAUUCUUCUUAUCUGAAAACUAUUACCAGCACAUAGACUCAUAUAUUAAGUAGUCAUGGUUACAUGGAACACCCUUAUCUCAUUAAUAUAGUAGCAGGAAUUGUAGUUAUAGCUAAUAAUAGCAGCUUCCAAAUACUGUGUGCUCAGAAAAUUAUAUAUACAAUUUUAUUUAAUCCUCACUAUAAUCCAAUGAGAUAUUAUCUUUGUUUUACAGAUGAAGAAAUAGGCUGAUAUAUCGACUUGCUCAAGGACACACAGUUAACAAAAGGAAGAUCUGUCAUAUUCCAAAGCCUAUGAUCUUAACUACAGUACUGCUUGACCCUCCAUUAUGUAUAGAAAGCAUAACAGGAUUUCUUACAACAGGAACAGUCUAACUUCUUGGCCUGUAGGUAAGAUAAAAUCAAAUUGCAAACCUGACAGUUUGACUCAGCAGAACAACCUCCUGUGUACAGGCCUGUGAGACCAGCAUUCACACAAGAGAUCCACAUGCAUAUUAUUCAUCUUAUUUGAUAAAUACUUAUGUGCCAGGUAUUCUACGAGUUAUGGAUAUAAACUCAUUUAAUCCAUGAGGUGGGCCCUACUAAAAAUUCCUAUUUUAAAGAUGAGGAAGAAGAGGCACAAAGAUGUUGAGUAACUUGCUCCACGUUAGGCAGCUCAUAAAUGUCAGAGUCCCAUUAUUCAAAUAGAAACAAACACAAACAAUCUGGCUACAGCAUCUAUUGAUCCACUAUAUUAUUGCUAAUUGUGUUCAUGGUUGAAAAGGGCAAGGGGAGAGGAAAGAUAGGGAAAUAACAAAAUAGAGUUAAUUCCUCAGAAAAAUCAAUAAAAUAAUCAAUUUACAGUUUUCUAUUCCUACCAUAGUAAUAUACUUCUUGUUGUUUCAUUGUGUAUUUGAAGGAUAAACCCUACCAGUCAUAUUGAUAAAUAUUUUCAUUUGACUUGUUAGGAUCUGAUUUAGAAAAAUAGCUCUACCUUCAGACUAUGAAGGUAGAAAUGCACUGGGCAAACAAAAAUCUGCACAUGAAGUUUAUAGGAGCUUUAUUCAUGGAAGCAACCAAGAUGUCCUUUGGUAGAUGAAUGGGUAAACUGUUGUUCUUCUGUACAAUGGAAGAUUAUUCAAUGCUAAAAUGAAAUGACCGUUAAGCCAUGAAAAAUGGUAGGGAGGGCUUAAGUGCAUAUUACUAAGUAAAGAAGCCAAUCUAAAAAGGUUAUAUGGUUGACCCUUGAAUAACAUGGGGGUUGGGGGCACCAAUCCCUUGUGCAGUUAAAAAUCUGUGUAUAACUUUUGACUUCCCAAAAACUAAAUAGCCUCCUUCUUGACUAGAAGCCUUAUGGAUAACAUAGUUAAUAAACACAUACUUUGUAUGUAUAUAUAAUAUACUGUAUUCUUAGAAGAAAGUAAGCUAGAGAAAAGAAAAUGUUUUUUUUAAUUGUCAAAAAUCUCCAAAAAAUUUUCCAAUAUUUAUGGAAAAAAAUCCAUGGAUAAGUGGACCUGUGCAUUUCAAACCUGUGUUGUUCAAGGGUCAACUGUAUACUGUAUGAUUCCAACUAUGUGACAAUCUAGAAAAGGCAAAACUAUGGAGACAGAUCAGUGGUUUCCAGGGUUUUGGGGGAAGGAAGGGCUGAAUAGGCAGAGCAUGGAAGAUUUUUAGGGUAGUGAAACUAUUCUGCAUGAUACUAUAAUGGUGGAUACAUGUCACUGUAUGAUUGUAUAGAAUGUACAACACCAGAAGGGAACCCAGAUGUAAACUAUGGACUUUGGGUGAUAAUGAUGUGUUGUGUCAAUGUACGAUUGUGGUGGGAUGGGAACUCUGUACUUUCUGCUCGGUUUGCUGUGAACCUAAAACUGCUCUAAAAAAUAAAGUCUAUUUUUUAAAAUGCUUUGAAAAUUACAGUGUACUCUAAAAUUUAAAAUAUUAUUAUAGUGUGUGUGUAGUAGGUCUUGUUUACUUCAAUCUAUACCUGUUCAAGUCCUCCAUGCUCUUGGUCUUACUUUUCUGCCUGUCACCUCUUCCUUUCCUUUGCAAGCACAAAUGGGGUGACCCCACUUGGGCUCUCUUCCUCUGUUCCACUGUCCUUUUCUUGAGGCUUCUCAGCACAGUUUCAGGCCAGCUGUCUGCCUCCACCAUGAUUAUCAGGGCUGCAGAGCACUG